rnacentral:rRNA from 1 species
AUUGAACGCUGGCGGCAGGCCUAACACAUGCAAGUCGAGCGGAGUGGCGGACGGGAGAGUAAUGCCCACGAAUCUGCCUGGUAGCGUGGGAUAACGUCCGCAAACUGGCGCUAAUACCGCACACUAUCAGAUGAGCCUAGGUCGGAUUAGCUAGAUGGUGGGGUAAAGUCCUACCAAGGCGACGAUCCGUAACUGGUCUGAGAGGAUGAUCAGUCACACUGGAACGGAGACACGGUCCAGACUCCUACGGGAGGCAGCAGUGGGGAAUAUUGGACAAUGGGCGCAAGUCUGACGGAGUAACGCCGCGUGGAUGAUGAAGGGCUUCGGGUCGUAAAGCACUGUUAUUAGGGAGGCGGUACCUAUAGAAAAAGCCACGGCUAACUACGUGCCAGCAGCCGCGGUAAUAC